rnacentral:rRNA from 1 species
AGUGAACGCUGGCGGUAGGCCUAACACAUGCAAGUCGAACGGCAGCACAGUAAGAGCUUGCUCUUACGGGUGGCGAGUGGCGGACGGGUGAGGAAUACAUCGGAAUCUACUUUUUCGUGGGGGAGAACGUAGGGAAACUUACGCUAAUACCGCAUACGACCUACGGGUGAAAGCAGGGGAUCUUCGGACCUUGCGCGAUUGAAUGAGCCGAUGUCGGAUUAGCUAGUUGGCGGGGUAAAGGCCCACCAAGGCGACGAUCCGUAGCUGGUCUGAGAGGAUGAUCAGCCACACUGGAACUGGGACACGGUCCAGACUCCUACGGGAGGCAGCAGUGGGGAAUAUUGGACAAUGGGCGCAAGCCUGAUCCAGCCAUACCGCGUGGGUGAAGAAGGCCUUCGGGUUGUAAAGCCCUUUUGUUGGGAAAGAAAAGCAGCAGGUUAAUACCCCGCUGUUCUGACGGUACCCAAAGAAUAAGCACCGGCUAACUUCGUG